GGAUUCCCCUAGUAACUGCGAGUGAAGCGGGAAAAGCUCAAAUUUAAAAUCUGGUGGUCUCUGGCCAUCCGAGUUGUAAUCUAGAGAAGUGUUACCCGCGUCGGACCGUGUAUAAGUCUCCUGGAAUGGAGCGUCAUAGAGGGUGAGAAUCCCGUCUUUGACACGGACUACCGAGGCUUUGUGGUAUGCUCUCAAAGAGUCGAGUUGUUUGGGAAUGCAGCUCAAAAUGGGUGGUAAAUUCCAUCUAAAGCUAAAUAUUGGCGAGAGACCGAUAGCGAACAAGUACCGUGAGGGAAAGAUGAAAAGAACUUUGGAAAGAGAGUUAAACAGUACGUGAAAUUGCUGAAAGGGAAACGCUUGAAGUCAGUCGCGUUGGCCGGGAAUCAGCCUUGCUUUUGCUUGGUGUACUUUCUGGUUGACGGGCCAGCAUCAGUUUUGACCGGUGGAAAAAGUUCAGGGGAAUGUGGCAUCUUCGGAUGUGUUAUAGCCCUUGWUCGUAUACAUCGGUUGGGACUGAGGAACUCAGCACGCCGCAAGGCCGGGUCUUUGACCACGUUCGUGCUUAGGAUGCUGGCAUAAUGGCUUUAAUCGACCCGUCUUGAAACACGGACCAAGGAGUCUAACAUGCCUGCGAGUGUUUGGGUGGAAAACCCGAGCGCGUAAUGAAAGUGAAAGUUGAGAUCCCUGUCAUGGGGAGCAUCGACGCCCGGACCUGACGUUUUCUGACGGCCCUGCGGUAGAGCAUGUAUGUUGGGACCCGAAAGAUGGUGAACUAUGCCUGAAUAGGGUGAAGCCAGAGGAAACUCUGGUGGAGGCUCGUAGCGAUUCUGACGUGCAAAUCGAUCGUCAAAUUUGGGUAUAGGGGCGAAA
rnacentral:rRNA from 1 species